AGGAUGAACGCUGGCGGCGUGCCUAAUACAUGCAAGUCGAGCGCGAGCGUUAGAAGCUUGCUUCUAACAAUCGAGCGGCGGACGGGUGAGUAACACGUGGGCAACCUACCUUGAGAUUGGGAUAACUACCGGAAACGGUAGCUAAUACCGGAUAGGACAUCAUUACAUAAGUAGCGAUGUUAAAAAGGCGGAUUUAUCUGCCGUUCAAAGAUGGGCCUGCGGUGCAUUAGCUAGUUGGUGAGAUAGUAGCUCACCAAGGCGACGAUGCAUAGCCGACCUGAGAGGGUGAUCGGCCACACUGGGACUGAGACACGGCCCAGACUCCUACGGGAGGCAGCAGUAGGGAAUCUUCCGCGAUGGACGCAAGUCUGACGGAGCAACGCCGCGUGAGCGAAGAAGGGUUUCGGCUCGUAAAACUCUGUUGUUAAGGAAGAACACUUGAGGUAGUAACUGGCCUCGAGCUGACGGUACUUAACCAGAAAGCCACGGCUAACUACGUGCCAGCAGCAGC
rnacentral:rRNA from 1 species